UACGGAGGGGGCGAGCGUUAUUCGGAAUUAUUGGGCGUAAAGGGCGCGUAGGCGGCUCUAUAAGUCAAAGGUGAAAUCCCUCGGCUCAACUGAGGAACUGCCUUUGAAACCGUUGGGCUUGAGGCCGGGAGAGGGUAGUGGAAUUCCCAGUGUAGCGGUGAAAUGCGUAGAUACUGGGAGGAACACCAGUGGCGAAGGCGGCUACCUGGACCGGUUCUGACGCUGAGGCGCGAAAGCGUGGGUAGCAAACAGG
rnacentral:rRNA from 1 species